UCAGGUGGCCGCAGAGAAUAGGCCCAAGCGACUGUUUACCAAAAACAUAGGUUUCUGCUAAGUCGCAAGACGAUGUAUAGGAGCUGACGCCUGCCCGGUGCUGGAAGGUUAAGGGGAUCUGUUAGAGCAAUCGAAGCAGUGAACUUAAGCCCCAGUAAACGGCGGCCGUAACUAUAACGGUCCUAAGGUAGCGAAAUUCCUUGUCGGGUAAGUUCCGACCCGCACGAAAGGCGUAACGAUUUGGGCACUGUCUCAACAACCGACUCGGUGAAAUUGUAAUUCCGGUGCAGAUGCCGGAUACCUGCGACAGGACGGAAAGACCCCAUGG
rnacentral:rRNA from 1 species